rnacentral:lncRNA from 1 species
GAAAACAAGCUCAGGGCUCCCACUGAUUGUACAUUAUGGUGAGACGUGGUCUUGUAACACAGUGGUUAAGAAUGUGACUUUGGAGCCAGCCUGCUAGGGGCUGAAUUCUGACUCAGCCAUUUACUAACUGUGUGACCUUAGGUGGAGUCUCACUCUGUAGCCCAAGCUGGAGUGGCGUGAUCUCGACUCACUGCAACCUCCGCCUCCUGGGAUCAAGUGAUUCUCGUGCCUCAGCCUCCUGAGUAGCCGGGACUACAGGUCACAGAAUUUUCCACACUCCUUGACAGAGGUGCUUAACCCUUAUCCAUCAGCAUUCUCAGACAGCACCUCCGGUUAGGGACAGUAUCUGACCGUCCGACA